UUCACAUUUAAAGAUUUUAAGCUAUGCUAUGCUAUUAAAAUGUGAGAUGUGGUGAUGGGUUAAUCAAAACCAUUUUUGGAUUACGAUCAUAAAUAUAGUGAAAUAUGCUUGGGUUAGGGUUUAGAUUAAAAUUAAGUCAUGUUGUGUUGAUUAUAUCCUGUGGUUCUGUUUUGCCAACUUGGAAUUAUAAGGUUCUUUUGUAGAUAAAACCUUUUUGUUUUCUAAAAAAAAAGUCCCAAAAUGUACACAUCUUAAAAUAAAUCACAAUGUAAAUAUGUUGUCAUAGAAUAAGAAUGUGUGAAUAACUCAAUUCUGACAAAAGUGUCAGAUAGAACCUUAUAAUUCCAAGGUGAUGGUAAUUGUAAUGAUGGGUCGAAUGCGUGAGGAUCCAUUUGCAGCUUGUUUAUUAAAAGUACUUACAGAGUAGACAGGGCAAAGGCAGAGACACAAACAGGGACAGGCAAUGGUCGAGGCAGGCGGCAGACAAGCAGAGUAAAGUCACAGGCAAUGGUCAGGGCAGGCGGCAAACAAACACAGUCCAAUAAACAGUCCAAUGGCAACAGAAAUACAAUCCACAAGAAAACGCUCAGAAGUGAUCACCGGGGCAAAUCAAGACUUCACAAAGGGUGUGUGUGUGUGUGUGUCUUUUAUAGUCCAGGUAAUGAUUUGCAGGUGUGUGUGGCACUUGGUGAUUGGUGUGGAGUGUGCAGGUGAUUGGAAGGGAGGAUUAUGGGAAAUGGAGUCCAGGAACAGACAGUGAUCGUGACAGUAAUACAGAAUGUUUAAACAAACUUGUAGAAGUUUAAUGUUUUUAAACCAGCUUGAAUAUGUGGGUUAACAUUUAUAGUAGUGUCUACAUAUGUUAUGAAAUGUUAGAUACAUUUCGUACAGUAAAAAAUGCAUUCAGACCUUUUCAAUUUUUUUUCACAUUUUGUUGCGUUGCGGCUUUAUGCUUAAAUGCUUUAAAUUCUUUCACUCAUUCUUUCACUCAAAAUUCUUCACUCCAUACCCUAUAAGGUCAAAGCAAAAUACAGAUUUGAUUAACACUUUAUUUUGAUGGUUCCCCAACAGACAUUCUACUGACUAAAAGUAACUUUGCACAUGUCAACUUAUUCUACUAACACUACCCCUACCCUAAAAGUCUACUAAUACUCAGCUAAUACUCUAACAUUGACAUAGAGGUGAAACAUUUCUUAUAGUCAACAGAAUGUCUUAAAGUGUAACCCAGAUUUGAUAUAACUUUGCAAAUUUAUUAAAAAUCAAAAAACUGAAAUAUCACACUGACAUAACUAUUUAGACCCUUUGACAUUUGAAAUUUAGCUUAGGUGCAACCCAUUUCUCUGUAUCAUCUUUGAGAUAUUUCUACACAUUGAUUGGAGUAAAUCUGAUCAAAUUCAAUUGAUUGGACAUGAUUUUUUUUUUUUUUUUUUUUUUUGUAUGUGAAUGCUCUUUUACCACCUGACAUGGAAUCUCUUGUUUCUUUUCCCAAAUCUUCACUCAGGUCUCACCCAUUUUUGCAAGGGAUUGUAAACGUUUCUUCCUUUGAUUCGCUUUUAAUUAUAUUCGCAUUCUUUACUGUGGUAAAGUAUAAACACGCUGUAGGACAGAUACAUUUUUGCUUGCACGUCAAAUUCUAUUUAACACACUUUGUGCUUGUUACUAGACUUGGUAUGGCAUGUUAUUUGUAUAGCGCAUUUCGCACACGGUGAUUUUAGUUUUGCUUUUUUUGGCAGCGCAAAAUCAAACAUAGCCUAAAUGUCUUGCCCCUGCGGAAGAUAAAAUUCGCUUUUCAGACCUUUUACAACAAGUGUCAGUUGUUUUGAAAAUCAGGAGAAAACAUGGAGAUAUUAGAAAAGAGAUGGUCCCUUUCCUGCUUGUGUCCCGGAUUCCAUCAAAUGAGUUUAAGGUAUGAAUACUUAUGCAAUGUGAUAUUUCAGUUUUAUUAUUUUUAAUAAUUUUACAUAGAUAUCACAAAACUGUUUUUUCAAUGUCAUUAUAGGGUAUGGAGUAUAGAUUGAUGUGGAAAAAUGAGAGAAAAUUUUAGCAUAAGGCAACAAAAUGUGGAGAAAAAAAAUGAAAACACUUGAAAUUGACAACACUUUCCAAAAUAUCAUCAGCCACAGAAGACAAGUGGCUAGACUGAAUAGUGAUGAAAAAAAAAGUUAACCUAAUCAAACUGAACCAUAUGAUGAUGUUAAUUUAAGUUUAUCUUUUCUCUAGAUGCUCCAACCUCAGCUGAUGAGACUGAAGGCAACAUUGACACAGCUAAUCUGACAGCAGUAGUGAUGGCCACAAUAGUGUCUCUGUGUGUCCUCAUAUCACUGAUCAUCUGUGUGAUUCUUUAUUUCAGAAAACGAAAGCAGAAUAUCAACAGCCAAACUGAAUUGAACUGCAUUUAUUCCACAUAUUAUUCUGAAAUGUCAGGAGGAUUGGAUGUCCCGUUGUAUUCUGUAGUUCAACGUAGAUGAAUCAUGACUCCCUGUAGGUUACUACAACACAAUAAUCAUUAAAUUGUAAUUAUAUAAUAAAUAGAAUAAUCAUUAAAUUAAAUAAUUCAUUUUUCAUCUGUCCUGAGCUACACAAAACAUGUUGACAAUUAAGCUGGAAUAAAUCACAUCAAAUUGGUUUGGACUAAUUUAUGUAAAAUAUGCCCAAUUUUAUGUGAAAUAUGCCAAAUGUAAUACUGUACUGCUUGUCCUCUUCAGUCUGAAUUUAAUGACUAGCAUAAUUUUGUAAAACACAUCACAAGAUAUGUUGUAGCUUGCAUUGCCAUUUUUGCAUUGCUGAGUUUCACAGAAUUUAUUAUCUCACUUCAUAACAUGGCCAAAAAUAUAAAUGCAGUAUGCACACAUCUGCAAAUGUGCAUGAUUCAAACAAUACUUUUUUUCCUUUUUCUUUGACCAAAUUAUUUUUUUAACAUUAUCUCACAAGAGUUGGUGUGAACUGCGAAAAAGUGAAGCUCCUGCAUGCAAACCAGAUGACAAUAUAAUGCUGUGAAAUAAAACAGUUUUUAAUGAUUUUUUGUUUGUUUGUUUUUUACUCAGUGUAAUGCAUCUGGCAAAUUUUUAUAAAUGAUUUAGUAUUACAAUGAAAAUGAUUUUUUCUAUGUAUCAUUUUAAUAAAUAAAACAAUUUAAAUUUAAACACAAUUUUAUAAGAUUUAAUAGCCAUGGACAGCUAGAAGACCUUGCCGUAUAAGGACUGCUAUAAACAGACUUUACAUUCUGUAGUACUACAAGUCUGUAAAAAUACAGCCCAAUGUGUUUUGUUAAUAUGAAGGAUUUUUUCAUUGCAUUGUGAAA